rnacentral:sRNA from 1 species
AGAGGAUGGCCUGUAAUAGGAUGAACAAUUGAACAAUGCCCCUUCUCAAAGAUAUCGCAUCCAAAUUCCUGGAACCUGUAAAUGUUAUCUUACUUACAACAGAAAAGGGUAUUUGCAAAUAAAUUAAGUUAAAAAUCUUAAGAUGGAGAGAUUUUUCUGCAUUAUGUGGGUGAGCCCCAAAUGCUAUAAUGAAUGCAUCGUUAAAAGAGAGAGGCAGAGGGAGAUUUAACACAAGGAGAAGAGAGAAGGUGAUGUGAUGACCUCAACAGAAAGAGAGAAAUUUGCAGAUGCUAUGCUCUAUCUUUGAUGAUGGCCAGAGGAGCCAUGAGUGAAGGCAUACAAGUGGGCUCUUGCCACUGAAAAAAAUAAGAAAUGCCAGCAUCCACCAGAAGCCAGAAGAGACAAGGAAUGGAUUCUCUCCAGGAGCCUCUGAAAAUGAACAUGGACCAUGCAGAGGAGGGCAGGGCUAGCAUUUACAAAUCAGUCUUUUCCAACUCUUCCAAAGAGAUGAUGUGUUUCCCAGACUUCCCAUUUCCCGAUGACUUCCCCAACUUUAUGCACAACAGCAAGAUCCAGGAAUAUAUCAUUGCAUUUGCCAAAGAAAAGAACCUCCUGAAGUACAUACAAUUUAAGACAUUUGUAUCCAGCAUAAAUAAACGUCCUGAUUUUGCAACUACUGGCCAGUGGGAUGUUACCACUGAAAGGGAUGGUA